rnacentral:rRNA from 1 species
AUGGGUAGCUAUGGUGGAGACGAUGGCGGCGUGGAGCUGACCGAGCUGACGCUGGCGCCGCCGGGCGAGAGGGCGCGGAGGGCGAGGCGGGCGAGGAAGAGCGUCGAGGCGGCGGCGUUCGUGAAGGUGAGCAUGGACGGGACGCCGUACCUGCGCAAGGUGGACGUGGCGGCCUACGGCGACUACCUCGAGCUCCUCCAGGAGCUCAACGCCAUGUUCUACUGCUGCUCCAUCGGCCUGAUGGACGGGUACGGCCAGUGGGAGCACGCCGUGGUGUACGAGGACGGCGACGGCGACUGGAUGCUCGUCGGCGACGUGCCCUGGGAGAUGUUCGUGUGUUCGUGCAGGCGGAUGAGAGUGAUGCGAGCGUGCGAGGCGAGAGGGCUGAGCGCCAACGCGUGA